rnacentral:rRNA from 1 species
UGGGGAAUAUUGGGCAAUGGGCGAAAGCCUGACCCAGCAACGCCGCGUGAAGGAAGAAGGCCCUCGGGUUGUAAACUUCUUUUGUCAGGGACGAAGCAAGUGACGGUACCUGACGAAUAAGCCACGGCUAACUACGUGCCAGCAGCCGCGGUAAUACGUAGGUGGCAAGCGUUAUCCGGAUUUACUGGGUGUAAAGGGCGUGUAGGCGGGAGUGCAAGUCAGAUGUGAAAACUAUGGGCUCAACCCAUAGCCUGCAUUUGAAACUGUACUUCUUGAGUGAUGGAGAGGCAGGCGGAAUUCCCUGUGUAGCGGUGAAGUGCGUAGAUAUAGGGAGGAACACCAGUGGCGAAGGCGGCCUGCUGGACAUUAACUGACGCUGAGGCGCGAAAGCGUGGGGAGCAAACAGGAUUAGAUACCC